UUACGACCAUAUCAUGUUGAAACACCGGUUCCCGUACAAUCGUCGAAGUUAAACGACGUCAAGCCUGGCCAGUAUCUAAAUGGGUGACUGCUUGGGAAACCAGAU